CACCCUUCUGGGUAAAGCUGUGUCUACAGGGAGCCAGAGCACCAGCAGCGAGAGGAAUCCCUUGGAAAGGGGACAGGGCUGUCACACCUCUCAAAGGGGGACAAAGUAAACAAUCUCCAUGGCUUCCUGCCAGCCUUUUUUUUUUUUUUUUCCCCAGUGAUUUUUGGCUUUUCCAUCAGAACAACUUACCAGCUGAUUUUCCUAUCUAAAGGAUGUUGGCAGAGUGUGUCCCUGACUCAUCCUCCUGAGCUUCACCCCAGCAUGUUCACGUCCUUGCUCUUCAAGUAUCACACUGUGCAGGGUGAGAGGAUUUCUUCCACUUCAGUUUUCCUCUGGAUUGCCCAGUUUCUCCAUGUGGCUCUGAGAUUCUUUCCCAGUCUUCCAAAGGUCCCUACACAGGACAGUAAGACAGUACCUUAGAGCUGCCCUCUGUAUUUAAACAUUGCUGAUUGUGUGCCAAGGACCUUGGGCAAGAUGCUGUAAGCUGAAACAAGAAAGAGCUCAGUAAUAAAUACGUUUUAAAACCU